CUGGCAGACCUACAGCAAAUGCAAACUGUACAUCUUGAGAAGCUAAGUGACAUACAAUGUCAACCUGAGUCACAGCUAAAGUUCAUUACCGAGGCCUGGCUACAGAUAGUUGAAUGCAGGCGAGUUUUGAAAUGGACUUAUGCCUAUGGAUAUUAUUUACCUGAGCAUGAACAUGGGAAGAGACAGUUCUUUGAGUAUUUGCAAGGUGAAGCUGAGUCUGGGUUGGAACGUCUUCAUCAAUGUGCUGAGAAGGAGCUCCAGGUUUAUCUAAAUUCAGAGGGCCCAUCAAAGGAUUUUAAUGAGUUCCGUACCAAACUUGCUGGGUUGACCAGUGUCACUCGGAACUAUUUCGAGAACUUAGUACGAGCUUUGGAGAAUGGUUUAUCAGAUGUGGACUCUCAUGGUGCAUGCAGCAGGACAACAAACUCAAAGAGCUUGGGAGGUGGAAGCAGCAGGGGGAGAAGUGGGAGAGGCAAGGGUUCAACAUCCAGAUCAAGUGGCCCUAGCAGAAACAUUGAUGAUUCAGGCCACUGGUCAUGUGAACAUUGUACGUAUGCAAAUAUCAGGUCGGCUACCAUUUGUGCGAUCUGCCAACAAUGUCGUUAAAUUUCAUUUUCUUCACCGGCAGGCCGCCUAGACGGGAAUUUUCCGUUUUGCCUCUUUGGCUGUCCAAUUGUUUUGGGGAAACACCUUUUAGAUCAUUGCUGAGUGAAAGAAUAAUGCUCCAAUAAUUUCUCUGCUUUAAGACCUGAAGAGCAAUGAUGGAGAAUGGAAAUAGGGAAGGUAGAAACUUCACCUGUUUGACUUGUUUCUGAAAUCAGCUGUAAAUAGUUGCUGCCAUUUAUGACGAUCUUUAACUUGUACUAGUUAUCUUAUAUCAGGACCCAUGCAAAUGUAUUCAUCUGUAAUCUUUACCAUCAUUUAUUUAUGUUGUUACUAAUAGAUGUAUAAAGCACUUGAAGUUUUCAAGUGUUUUGGAGGAGUGAUAGCCACUUGAGGUCAAUAGGUUGCAAAUAAAUAUGUUGUACCGUUUGUUUUUGCUGGAUGAAUUGCUUUUACCGUUAAAAUUCUUUUAGUAUCAAAAUGGAGAUUAUAAUAUGAUGAUAUUAUGGUUGGG
rnacentral:misc_RNA from 1 species